UGAUUGAUGGUGCUUGCACCUGAUUGAUUUUGGUCGCCAACGAGUGGCGGACGGGUGAGUAACACGUAGGUAACCUGCCCAGAAGCGGGGGACAACAUUUGGAAACAGAUGCUAAUACCGCAUAACAGCGUUGUUCGCAUGAACAACGCUUAAAAGAUGGCUUCUCGCUAUCACUUCUGGAUGGACCUGCGGUGCAUUAGCUUGUUGGUGGGGUAACGGCCUACCAAGGCGAUGAUGCAUAGCCGAGUUGAGAGACUGAUCGGCCACAAUGGGACUGAGACACGGCCCAUACUCCUACGGGAGGCAGCAGUAGGGAAUCUUCCACAAUGGGCGCAAGCCUGAUGGAGCAACACCGCGUGAGUGAAGAAGGGUUUCGGCUCGUAAAGCUCUGUUGUUAAAGAAGAACACGUAUGAGAGUAACUGUUCAUACGUUGACGGUAUUUAACCAGAAAGUCACGGCUAACUACGUGCCAGCAGCCGCGGUAAUACGUAGGUGGCAAGCGUUAUCCGGAUUUAUUGGGCGUAAAGAGAGUGCAGGCGGUUUUCUAAGUCUGAUGUGAAAGCCUUCGGCUUAACCGGAGAAGUGCAUCGGAAACUGGAUAACUUGAGUGCAGAAGAGGGUAGUGGAACUCCAUGUGUAGCGGUGGAAUGCGUAGAUAUAUGGAAGAACACCAGUGGCGAAGGCGGCUACCUGGUCUGCAACUGACGCUGAGACUCGAAAGCAUGGGUAGCGAACAGGAUUAGAUACCCUGGUAGUCCAUGCCGUAAACGAUGAGUGCUAGGUGUUGGAGGGUUUCCGCCCUUCAGUGCCGGAGCUAACGCAUUAAGCACUCCGCCUGGGGAGUACGACCGCAAGGUUGAAACUCAAAGGAAUUGACGGGGGCCCGCACAAGCGGUGGAGCAUGUGGUUUAAUUCGAAGCUACGCGAAGAACCUUACCAGGUCUUGACAUCUUGCGCCAACCCUAGAGAUAGGGCGUUUCCUUCGGGAACGCAAUGACAGGUGGUGCAUGGUCGUCGUCAGCUCGUGUCGUGAGAUGUUGGGUUAAGUCCCGCAACGAGCGCAACCCUUGUUACUAGUUGCCAGCAUUAAGUUGGGCACUCUAGUGAGACUGCCGGUGACAAACCGGAGGAAGGUGGGGACGACGUCAGAUCAUCAUGCCCCUUAUGACCUGGGCUACACACGUGCUACAAUGGACGGUACAACGAGUCGCGAACUCGCGAGGGCAAGCAAAUCUCUUAAAACCGUUCUCAGUUCGGACUGCAGGCUGCAACUCGCCUGCACGAAGUCGGAAUCGCUAGUAAUCGCGGAUCAGCAUGCCGCGGUGAAUACGUUCCCGGGCCUUGUACACACCGCCCGUCACACCAUGAGAGUUUGUAACACCCAAAGUCGGUGGGU
rnacentral:rRNA from 2 species